GAGUGGAAAAUUUUAGCUUAUUGACUCUUCCAGACGAAAGUGAAAGUGGAAACCCAGAUUGUGGUUGUCAUUUAAAAUGCCUAAACUUAAUUGGACGUGGACAUUUUUAAUAACUGGAACGGCAGCAAUAGCAUGGUUAUCAUGCAGUAAAAUAGAAUCUCCGGUGGUGUUUUGGGAUGCUGUGGUGAAACUAUUUAUAUAUUCUCGUGUUGAUAUGGAUAGGAUGUUCUGUAUUGAACAAGAUCUACUCUGCUUUUGCCAAGCAAAGUACACAUCUUUCCACUCCAGAAGUUCCAGAGGAACGUAAACAGCGGUUUGAAGAUCAACGGAAGAGAAAUAGACAAUGUAUCCAGAAUAAAACAAAUGAAAAGGUUGAAAGCUACAAAGAAAGGAUUUUAAUUCCACGGGAAGAAGCCAGGAGACAAAAACAGGACGAGGAGUUGAAUCUCAUAAUGGGUCAUACAUUCAGAGGGAGUGGGACAGCAGCUAGGGGAAGACGACGAGAUACCAGAUCGUAACAGUCGCAAAGAGAAUAUAAAUGAAGAUGCACGUGAAAGGCGACGACUACCGCCAGAUGUUGUGUUGCAUAGACCAAAGCCUGAAUCAGAACCAGAAAAGAAGAGGAGGGUGAUUGAGUUGCCCGGUGAACCAGAUGAAGAAGAUGGUGAAUGCAUAACAGUUACAUUACAUACACCUCUAGAUCAGAGGAAGUCGAGGAGGUUUCUAAGUUCAAGCCCAUUACAGGCG
rnacentral:lncRNA from 1 species